rnacentral:rRNA from 1 species
AUGAGCAUACUGGGCGGUGAUGACCCUGGUAGCUACUUCCUCGAAAUGAAUGCCAAAGACCUGAUUAACCUAGAUGAGGAUGCAGAUUCAUUCAAGUGGUUGUUCAAGACAUUUUUAAGGUGCAUGAGAAGGAAGGCUCCUACAUACAUCCUCACAGGUACAACUGCUAAAACCACCCCCAACCACCACCCCCUUCCAAAAAAGAAAAAUCAGUGCCCGGCCAUGGCUUUGGCGAUCGCAGAUGUUUUCCAGAACACAGUACAUAAGCUAUGCCGCUGGCACAUUAUGAAGAAGUACAGAGUACACCUUGCGUACCUGUAUUUCCUGCACGAGGACUUUAAAGAUGAAUUCACAUCAAUUCUCAACUGGCCCCUCAUGCCAACUGAGUUUGAGGAUGCCUGGAAAAGACUCAUGGAUAAGUACAACCUCCACGACGAUACCACAAUGGUGGGCAUGUGGAAUGAGCGUGAGAAAUGGAUAUCAGCCUACUUCAAAGAAACUUUCUGCGCCAAAAUGACAUCCACACAGCAAAGUGAGAGCAUGAACUAUGUGCUCAAGAAGAACUAUGUAAAUGAGAGACAUACCCUACACCGGUUUGUCAGCCAGAAGGAACAAAACAUGCUGACCUACUAUGGGUUUGACACCCAGAUGGCAAAGCUGUACACACGAGAUAGGCUGAAACUGAGCACACUCUUCACGGCGACAAAGACGAAAGAGCCCACAAAGUACCUAGUGCGCUACAACCACCCGCAAAAACUGUCUGUGUGGGCUCAGCAUGCGUUCCAGGUGGUGGCAGACCCCGUGGGAGAAACAUAUGAGUGCGAGUGCAUGCUAUGGGACCACACAGGUGAGGAGUACAAAAAAGAUAAAAUUAAGGCUGCCAGCAUUCCAGAGAAAUACAUACUCAGGAGAUACACCAAACGCCCGAACAUCCAGCCAACAUUUGAUAGAAAUGACUUGAGGACAGUAGCAUCAAACAAGGCAUCCCAAUACUGCAUUGAAAGCUCACUGCUAACGUUGAACAUGAGGGUGCACAGAAAAAGCUUGAGAAGCCAAUACCAAAUGGCAAGGUCGCGGGUCGUCAUGGACCAACUUGAACAAGAACUCGACGCCAUGCAUUCUGCUGAAAAUGGAGGUGUCGCGGACAAUGAAGCCAUUGAGCAGGAUAUUGCUACAAUGUUAUCUAAGAUGAACCAUCUGGGAUCUAUUGACCCAUUUGAGAACGAGGAAGAAGAGCAGCAGCAACCGAAGCUUGCCCAUGUGCACACUCAAGAGCGCCGACAAACUCACAUGGGAGAUCUUGAGCUUGAUGGUGCUGUAGGUGAACGACAUGACAAUAGCACAUCCUACCAGCAGCAGCAGGAAAGGGUGAUUAAACCCCCAAUAUUCUCAAACACAAAGGGGAGGAAGAGCAACACGCAAGCAGCAAAAGCUGUGAAAGCAGCAGCCAAAAAGCCACCACGCCCCAUCAAGCGCGUGGAAUUUGGCCCGGACGGCAAACCCCUUGGGAUAAGGGCAUGCGGUUUCUACAACGUCGUGAGCAACCAUAACUACCGCACAUGCCCACUCCGCACAGAUGCCACUGUCAACAAGAACAAGCAGAUUGGAGCCACCCAGCUUUCUACCAAUGGAGACAACACACAUAACAGCUACACUUGCCGCAAGUGUGGCGGAACUGACGGACAUAAUGCCCGCAUGUGA